AUGAAAAAGAGGUCAAGAAACCCUCUGAAGGCCAGGAUCCAGGAGAAAAAUUGGCAACAACUGUUUUGGUGAACAAAUUUUACCAAAGCAAACAAGAAGUAUCUCCCUCCACCCUCCAUGCCCUGCUCCCAGCAGAUACUUUACUAAGAUAUUAACAAUUCCUGAAUUAAUUUCUUAAAUGCACAUUCUUCUUUUAUAGAUAUGGAAAUAGAUCUCUGGUUAUUUUUGAUGAGCCAAUACAUCCACUUUCACAAGAAAAGAUUCCAGGGAAAUCCUUUGAGGAUGAUCCCAAAUGCAACUGCAUUUUCAGAUAUUUCUGUACUCUUUUUAAAGUCACAAAACUAACAGCUCCAGGUGCAAUCGUAGCAUUGGUGUACAUUGAACAUCUUUUAACUAAUGCUAACAUUGAUCUUUGUCCUACUAAUUGGAAACAAAUUGUCCUCGGAGCCAUGCUUCUGGCCUCCAAGCUUUGGCGAAAUCGUCAUCUGUGGAGUGGGGAUGACAGCCAGAAUCCCAAGGAUGUUGCAGCUGAGACAAUGUGAGUUUCUAAGGUUUUGGCAAACUGUGUCAUCAUUUUCCAUGCCUCAUUUGCUCUCCAAGUUAUCACUGCAAGAAAUAUCUUUAUAGGUUUCAUUGUGCCGAUAAAGGAAAUAGGCAUAAGACCACAGACUUCAAUCUAUCCAGCUUUGGUAUAACAGUUUAUAUUUUCCAGCAUUAAUGGGUAAGUCUUGAUGCGUUAUUGUUGUAAUAACUGGCUGAUAAACUGAAAAGUGUUUUUCUGAUUGUUUUUUGGCCAACCUCUUACAAGUGUGCUGUCAGAAUGACACAGUACAGGGAAUGUCUUUAUAGU